AGAAAAGUAGGUGCCGCCCCGCACAGGGGCGACGCCUGAAGCACGCUAACGUAACGCGGAUGCCAGCGAAAACUAACAAUUCGCGGAUGCCAGCGCAAACCCAAA
rnacentral:sRNA from 1 species